CGGCCACACUGGGGCUGAGACACGGCCCAGACUCCUACGGGAGGCAGCAGUAGGGAAUCUUCCGCAAUGGACGAAAGUCUGACGGAGCAACGCCGCGUGAGUGAUGAAGGUUUUCGGAUCGUAAAACUCUGUUGUUAGGGAAGAACAAGUACCGUUCGAAUAGGGCGGUACCUUGACGGUACCUAACCAGAAAGCCACGGCUAACUACGUGCCAGCAGCCGCGGUAAUACGUAGGUGGCAAGCGUUGUCCGGAAUUAUUGGGCGUAAAGCGCGCGCAGGCGGUUUCUUAAGUCUGAUGUGAAAGCCCCCGGCUCAACCGGGGAGGGUCAUUGGAAACUGGGGAACUUGAGUGCAGAAGAGGAGAGUGGAAUUCCACGUGUAGCGGUGAAAUGCGUAGAGAUGUGGAGGAACACCAGUGGCGAAGGCGACUCUCUGGUCUGUAACUGACGCUGAGGCGCGAAAGCGUGGGGAGCGAACAGGAUUAGAUACCCUGGUAGUCCACGCCGUAAACGAUGAGUGCUAAGUGUUAGAGGGUUUCCGCCCUUUAGUGCUGCAGCAAACGCAUUAAGCACUCCGCCUGGGGAGUACGGUCGCAAGACUGAAACUCAAAGGAAUUGACGGGGGCCCGCACAAGCGGUGGAGCAUGUGGUUUAAUUCGAAGCAACGCGAAGAACCUUACCAGGUCUUGACAUCCUCUGACAACCCUAGAGAUAGGGCUUCCCCUUCGGGGGCAGAGUGACAGGUGGUGCAUGG
rnacentral:rRNA from 1 species